rfam:Pan troglodytes isolate Yerkes chimp pedigree #C0471 (Clint) chromosome 19, whole genome shotgun sequence.
GCUGGGUGUGGUGGUGCACGCCUGUAGUCCCAGCUACUUGGGAGUCUGAGGCAGGAGGAUCGCUUGAGGCCAGGAGUUUGAGGCUGCAGUGAGCUAGGAUUGCGCCACUGCACUCCAGCCUGGGCGAUAGAGUGAGAUCCUAUCUCAA